UAAAGUCGAAUCUUUCUAAACCCUAAACAGAAUACUAAACUGCCCUAAACAUUUUACUACAAUACACUUGCUUCUAUGAAUUAGUUUCAGUUUUGGUAUCACUAGGUGGAUGUUUCACUACGUUGUGGCAUAUUGCCAUGCCCUGUCCCUGCGACGGCUGCAGCAGUCACAUGCCAGCACAGCCAGAAAAGAAUAUGAGCUGUGCUGCUGUUUACUUUCUUCAUGAGCAACAUCAUCACACAUAGCGAUAUUAAUACAUGACAUCGGCAAAUUUUGCUCUGUGUCAUGACAUUGUGAAAACGUCGAUGACACCAGGUCUAGCAUUCUGCGACCAAGUUUUGCAUCAAAUUAGGACAUCUUAUGUUUCCCAACUUUCAAACUUUUAUGUGCUGAAAGUGUGUGGCAGAGAAUUUACACCCAAACUCUAUUGGCCUUAAUAGGAAAUCCAGGAUGGUGGAAAAAGAAGAGAAGAAGAAGCAAGCACCAUGGUUUUGUGAGAACAAUGCAGACUACAAAUGACAGAAAGCUGAAUGAGUUGAUAAGGAUUCAUGGUUUGAAAGGCAGAGGAUCACCUUGGCUUUCCGGCUUCAUGCUGAGCUCCAGGGAGUUGCCGGCCCAAGCUGAAGUUGCAGCGCCAGGCAGGGGAACCCGAACCACAGCCGCAUCUGGAGAGUGCCGAGUUAUCCGUCCGAGGGACACCACUGAAAGAAGUUAUAACACGGCUCGCAUCGGAAUCGUGGGUACUUGAGCCACUUGGCGCAAGACUACGCAAGAGUAAAGCACAGCUGCGACAAGACAGAGA
rnacentral:lncRNA from 1 species